GCCGCCACCGCCGCAGCUGCUGCUUCAAAUCCUUGAAAUCCAACACUUGCAGCUAUGCUUUAUCGCUAUAUAUGUAUGUAUGGCUUUUUGUUUCUAUAUUUAGUGUGUUGGUUAAUAAUGGAGGGUGGCCUUGCUGUGCAUGGUUGCCCCUAUAGUAUCUCCGAGGUGAUGUUUGCUCCGUUUUGUGUAAUAAGUUUCCAGUGCAAUAUAGUAUCUUCAUCUGUUUUUUUCUCUAACACAGUAUGUAAUUUCCCAGUGCAAUAUAAUAUCUGUAUUUUUUUUAACACAGUACAUACGCAAGCGUACACGCACCAUCUCUGGAAGUAGCCGGCAUUUACGAAGUCAGAGCAUCUGAGCCGGCAUUUACGAAGUCAGCAUCUCUGAAAGACUGAGCCGGCAUUUACGAAGUCAUCCGUCGGAACGUCUCUUCCCACUGAAUACGCAUCCCCGAAAAUCUUGAAACAAAUUCAAAAAUAAAUGCGAGCAUCAGGACUUGAACUAUGGGCUGAAUAUGCAUCGCCGAAAAUCCUGAACGUCUCUUUCCACUGAAUACGCAUCGCCGAAAAUCUUGAAAUAAAUUCAGAACGCAUCGCCGAAAAUCUUAAAAUAAAUUCAGAAAUAAAUGCGAGCGUCUUAAAAUAAAUUCAGAAAUAAAUGCGAGCAUAAGAACUCUCUUCCCACUGAAUACGCAUCGCCGAAAAUCUUGAAAUAAAUUCAGGACGCAUCGCCGAAAAUCUUGAAAUAAAUUCAGAAAUAAAUGCGAGCGUCUUGAAAUAAAUUCAGAAAUAAAUGCGAGCAUAAAAACUUGAACUAUGGGCUGAAUACGCAUCGCCGAAAAUUCUAAAUAAAUCUUGAACUAUGGGCUGAAUAUGCAUCGCCGAAAAUCCUGAACAUCUCUUCUCACUGAAUACGCAUCACCGAAAAUUUUAAAAUAAAUUCAGAAAUAAAUGCGAACAUAAGGACUUGAACUAUGGGCUGAAUACGCAUCGCCGAAAAUUCUGAAUAAAUUCAUAAAUAAAUGCGAGCAUCAGGACUCAGAAACUUUGGUGAGCUGGGACAGGUUGGUUCACAAUUUGCCUACUAUACUGCUAGUCCGUUCUUUCUGGGGUCCAUGCACGAUCCAUCAUAUAACGCAUCGCCAAAAUCCUGAAUAAAUCUAUAAAUAAAUGCGAGCAUCAGGACUUAGAAACUUCGAUGAGCUGGGACAGGUUGGUUCGCAAUUUGCCUACUGUACUGCUAGUCCGUUCUUUCUGGGGUCCAUGCACGAUCCAUAACACAAAUUCACCAACAAUUAGACAAUCAAAUUCACCAACAAUUACACAAUGCUAGUUCUUUCUUUCUGGGGUUCAUGCACGAUCCAUCAUAUAGCACAAAUUCAUCAACAAUUGGACAAUGCAACAAAGUAAACGUGCCCCAAGAAAAUACGAUAAUUCAUAGAUAGGUGAUACAGGAAUGAAUUGUUCGGUGCGGCUACACUCUUUUCACGUGUUGAGCUUCUUGUUCUUCGCCUAAAGUCACUUUUUGCCUUCCGGAUCCAAGAGAGUAGCAAUGAUCCUUGAAUCCUCCGAUGAAAUCUUUGCCUUGUUGAGACUUCAGCCCUGUUCGGAGUCCCUCCACUCCACCGCUCUGCUCCGUGAACAGGCGGAGCUACAGUUAAAAAGCACGGAGUUGCAGUCCCUUCACUCUGCAGCUCCUCGUAUUUUAGGAGCAGGUGGGUUACCGAACACUGCCUUCAUGCUUCUCUAAGUCUAUUUUAAUUUGUUGUCUACCCUCUUCUGGUGUCAAUUAAUCCCUGCCUUCACUUUCAAGAAGGGCUUGUGUGAUGUUUUUCUAACAUCAUGUAUACGGGAGUUGCUAUUCUUCAAGUCAUAAUGCAUUGGUUCUUGACUGUCCUUGAUUACGUAUAUUUAUGUCCGCCAUGAUAUCUUCCUAAAAAUGACCCUGAUCACAGAUAAACUAACAUCAUAUAUAACAAAAUUGAUUCAAUGACAUAUGCAACACUAAUACGUAAACUCAAAGUGGGGCAAAAAAUGAACCUUGUCCCAUGUCAUCGACAAAGGACCUAGACAGAUGCAAAAAAUAGAGAAUGGACAUGAAAGAAGGGCAGUCAAUUUGAGAGCCGAAGGACGGACAUGGAAGGAGGCAGACGUGAAAAAUGGAGGACGGACAUUGAAGGAGGCAGUUACGAAAAAUGGAGGACAUACAUGAAAGGAGGGCAGUCGAUUUGAUAUACUAGGUCAAUUUGAGGGAUUUUGGAUGGGUCCGGUCUCUUGAAUACGACGUGACGGACGCGUCCGUGCACAUCUAGGCCUACCCACACCUGUCUCAGAUAUGGGUUAGGCACGUCCGUCACAUCUAGGCCUACCCAUGCCUGUCUCAGGAAUCGGUUGGGUUCGAGGAGUGUCUGACAUUCCGGUUCUAGUUUCACGUUCUCCUUGUGUUUCUACAAAACUCUAGUUUCAUUUUGUGCUCCCUUUGACAUGAUAUGCGAGCCCACCUCACAUUAGAGGCUGGAUAAUUUUAAUUGCAGCAACAUAUCAUGUAUUUUUAGUUAUAAUAUCAAUCCAAAUUAGGGACUCCAUGGGCAUGGAGCCACCCACCCUUGGGCGUCGUGAACACCUUCACUUGCCCACGACCGGCGCUGCGUUGUUGUUAUUAGCCUUUCGGCUUGUAUCGUAUUGUCUUCUUUUUUAGUUCUUUGAACCUCGGUUUUGUUGUCGGCUUCUGUACUGUUUAACUGCCUCAGUUAAAGCCAGGCAAGUGCCUCCGCUCUAAAAAGAUAAUAUUAAUCAAAAUAAUCAUAUUCCAUACAACCAAAUAUCGCUUAAUGUGUUGCAACCAAUUUCCGCAAAAACUCCUGAGGUAUCAUGAAGUUUCUUCUGACCGAGUGUACUAAUUGUUUGCAUCUCGUGGUACGAAUUACGCCUGAUAUGAACUACUCCACGAGUCCUUGUCCUAUAGAGGAGAUACUAAUAGGUAGAUGAUAGUUACAAGUGAAGAUGUUCAAAUAUGGUUUUGGGGAAUCAGAUCUUUUCUUCAUAUUUGAUUUCACAUACAUGAUUUCUUUUCAUAGGGAGUUGUUGUGUGCAUAUAUGUUGUGAGCUGUAUGUAGAAACUAAUUAACAUUCAUUAACACAGGCGUUUCUCUCUUCCAAGUAGUCCAGUCCAGAAGCAUGAUCAGGGAGGCCAUCGUAACAGUGUGGGCCGACAUGUUUGCCCACCAAGAUCGAAUAUUUCUUCCGUUGGCCCAUACAGACAAAUGUAAAGUCCUUAACCCUAGCCAAUCAUUGAUCAUUCUUCAGAUCCUUGAAGUGAAGCGGCCGCCAGAAAAUGGAAACCAUAUACGCCGCUCUCUGCGGCAAGUUGCCGCUGCUUCGCACAAAGAGCAAGCGAGCAAACCAUAGGUGGGUGCAAGGGAGAUCCCUUUGGGAACCUUUUGGAAGGUUCCUGAAUAGAAUUUUGGGUUUUCUAUUUCCGUUUUCUCUUUAUUGGUAUUUUUCCAGAAGUUUUAAAAUAGUUCAGAAAUUUCAAAUUUUGUUUGAAGUUUUAAAAAAUAUUCAAAAAUAGAAAAAUGUUGAAAUUGAAAAUAAAAUUGUGUUUCAGAAAAAUGUUCUCCUUUUCCAAACAAUGUGUGGAAUUUCAGAAAAUUGUUCAUAGUUCAGAAAAUCAAGUUUUAUAAAAAAUAUUCAUACAAAAAAGGAACAAAAAUUGUAAAUGUGUUAUUUAAAAAAGUGUCGAACGUUUCUUUUAAUAUGAGGUUAAGAAAAACAGGAAAAAAACAAAAAUUAAAAAUACCAAAGAUAGUAAAGAGAAAAGCAGCACACUCUGUUCAUCGUUGAUGGCUGGCCCAGUUGGUCGCAGCCUAUGCAAAAGGUCGAAUGUUUGAUGUGGUCAUCAUCAAAUAUGCGAAAUCACUACUUAAGUUGUACCCCUUCUCCGGUUUGAAAAAUGGCACACUGCAUGUGCAUCACUUGUCACAACCUGGGAGUUUACCUUUUUCCGUAGACUCAUUUUUCCAAAACAUUUUAUGUCUGGAACUAUGCAUCCAAAUACUGAACCGUUUUCGCUGUUGGUUUUUUCACGUUAAGAUCUUCAAAAUUAGAUCCAUGUUAAUAGGUUUCGACGAACAUUUUUUCAUGAAAAAACCAUAAAACAAAAAAUGGGAAAGGAACAAAAACCAAAAACAAUGAAUACCCUUUAAAUAACGAUUCACGCAAAAAAAA
rnacentral:lncRNA from 1 species